rnacentral:rRNA from 1 species
GCGGCCGUAGCGCGGUGGUCCCACCUGACCCCAUGCCGAACUCAGAAGUGAAACGCCGUAGCGCCGAUGGUAGUGUGGGGUUUCCCCAUGCGAGAGUAGGGAACUGCCAGGC